GAUGAACGCUGGCGGCGUGCCUAAUACAUGCAAGUCGAGCGAACGGACGAGAAGCUUGCUUCUCUGAUGUUAGCGGCGGACGGGUGAGUAACACGUGGAUAACCUACCUAUAAGACUGGGAUAACUUCGGGAAACCGGAGCUAAUACCGGAUAAUAUUUUGAACCGCAUGGUUCAAAAGUGAAAGACGGUCUUGCUGUCACUUAUAGAUGGAUCCGCGCUGCAUUAGCUAGUUGGUAAGGUAACGGCUUACCAAGGCAACGAUGCAUAGCCGACCUGAGAGGGUGAUCGGCCACACUGGAACUGAGACACGGUCCAGACUCCUACGGGAGGCAGCAGUAGGGAAUCUUCAGCAAUGGGCGAAAGCCUGACGGAGCAACGCCGCGUGAGUGAUGAAGGUCUUCGGAUCGUAAAACUCUGUUAUUAGGGAAGAACAUAUGUGUAAGUAACUGUGCACAUCUUGACGUUACCUAAUCAGAAAGCCACGGCUAACUACGUG
rnacentral:rRNA from 1 species